CCUACGGGAGGCAGCAGUGGGGAAUAUUGGGCAAUGGGCGCAAGCCUGACCCAGCAACGCCGCGUGAAGGAAGAAGGCUUUCGGGUUGUAAACCUCUUUUAAGAGGGACGAGCAGAAGGCGGUACCUCUUGAAUAGGCCACGGCUAACUACGUGCCAGCAGCCGCGGUAAUACGUAGGGGGCAAGCGUUGUCCGGAUUUACUGGGUGUAAAGGGCGUGUAGCCGGGCUGAAAAGUCAGAUGUGAAAUCCCGGGGCUCAACCACGGAAAUGCAUUUGAAACUGUCGUUCUUGAGUAUCGGAGAGGCAGGCGGAAUGCCUAGUGUAGCGGUGAAAUGCGUAGAUAUUAGGAGGAACACCAGUGGCGAAGGCGGCCUGCUGGACGACAACUGACGGUGAGGCGCGAAAGCGUGGGGAGCAAACAGGAUUAGAUACCCCUGUAGUC
rnacentral:rRNA from 1 species